rnacentral:rRNA from 1 species
AGCGAACGCUGGCGGCAGGCCUAACACAUGCAAGUCGAACGAAGCCUUCGGGCUUAGUGGCGGACGGGUGAGUAACGCGUGGGAACGUACCUUUUGGUUCGGAACAACUCAGGGAAACUUGAGCUAAUACCGGAUGAGCCCUUAGGGGGAAAGAUUUAUCGCCGAAAGAGCGGCCCGCGUUAGAUUAGCUAGUUGGUGAGGUAAAGGCUCACCAAGGCAACGAUCUAUAGCUGGUCUGAGAGGAUGAUCAGCCACACUGGGACUGAGACACGGCCCAGACUCCUACGGGAGGCAGCAGUGGGGAAUCUUGCGCAAUGGGCGAAAGCCUGACGCAGCCAUGCCGCGUGAAUGAUGAAGGUCUUAGGAUUGUAAAAUUCUUUUACCAGGGACGAUAAUGACGGUACCUGGAGAAAAAGCCCCGGCUAACUUCGUGCCAGCCGCCGCUGUAAUAC